GGCAUCAUUAGUCAUCAGAGGAAUGUACAUUAAAACCACUGUGGGAUACUACCUUACAUCCUUAGAAUGACUAAAAUUAAAAAGUCUGGCAAGCCAGAUUUAGGAUAUGGAGCAACUGGAUCUCCCUUACAUUGUAGACGAGAACAUAAAAUAGAACAACCACUUUGAGAAAAGGUCUGGUGGUUUCUUGUAAAGUUAUAAAUAUAAUUCUGUGGUCUAGUGCUUCUACUCCUAGAUAUUUCUACUAAGAAAAAUUCAAAUGCAUUUUCUCAAAAAUAAUUGUACAAGAACAUUCCAAGAGCUUUGUUUGUAAUGACCCCGAAACUGAUGAAACCAAAUGUUGCACAGGAAAAUUGGUAAGUGACUGUGGUAUGUCCAUCCCAUAGGAUGCUACUCCACAAUAAAAAGAAAUGAACUACUGAUACAUGCGACGGCAUGAAUAAUUCUCAAAAACACACUGAGUAAAAGAAGCCAGAAACUUUAUAAUUCUGUUUGUAUGCAUAUUAAGAACAGACAAAAAGAGUUAUGGUAAUAGACACCAGAAGAUUUGUUGCCUAUGAGAGGUGGGAAUUGAUUGGAAGAGGACAUGUGAGAACCUUCUGAGAAGACAGAUAUUCUAUAUCUUGAUAGGAGCAUGGGUUAUACAUGUGUACACAUUUACCAAAACACAUUUAAUUGGAUAGUUAAUAUCCAUACAUUAUAAUACAUAAACAUUUACAUCAACAUAAAAUUAGAAAGAUUUUUAGUGUCAACCACCUAAUGUCCCUGUCUUAGACCGAGGGGUCCAACUCUUUUCCUAGUAGGAAGACCUUGGCAUAGGAUAUCUGCCAACAGCAUGCAUCCAGACCUGUUUGUACCAAUGCUAUCAUUGCAAUUAAAUCCCAGGUCUGACUUUCAGUGCAAGUACAAGAUACCUUGUAGCUGCAAAAGGUAAGUGUCUCUCUUUACCCUGCCAUGGAGGCUGUGUGGACUUUCACAACAUGCCCUGACUAAUUAGACUGGUUAGUUAGUUGACCUGCACCUAUUAUUUCUGUGUUUACCCAAGACUUCUAAUGCUGGUAAGAAAAGCUAGCAUUUCCUCUGUCUUUAUAAUUCCAUUGCCUCCAUGUCAUUUACAUGCCAAACUUACUCUGUAAGGAGUCAGUAUGCAUGAGAGGGAAGAAGGGAGAAAGAUCUGGGGAGAGGCUUUUACAUCAAUUUUAAAUUUCUAACAAUAAUUUCAUUGCACUGGAUAAUAGCUAACUCCCUGUUCCUGGAAGAGUUCAAGCCAAGAUUUAUGGUACUUGUUAGAAACCUCAGGGGCAGGAAUAGAACACAUAAGCAGGGAUUAAAUAACAUGGUCUUUGUGGUUCUUUCCAACCCUCAUUCAUUCACUUAUUCAUUCCAUCAAUUCCAUUAUUCAUUCCUGUUUCUGCCACUAUGCCAGGCUCUGGUAGAUGCAAAUGAUUCUCCUUAGCCCUCAAAUGUACAGCCAUUAAAAACUUGGUUCUGGAGGCCUAUUUUUAUCUUAAAUGUGCACAUCUAUUUGCAAGCAGAGAUGACAGGUGUGGCUGGCAUUUUCAGCUGCAUCUUUUCAUUGCUGCUAUCUGAUGACACAUUUUCCCUUAUGCCUAUAAAGUGGAUUCCUUAGAGAUGAUGUUGCUUUUAGCUUGAGGUUUCUAGAUGGAAUCAGCACUUGUUUAUUUGUUUGUUUGCACGUAGAAGUCUGAACCUCUUGCUCUGACCUAUUUUUGAAAACAUCCCACAACCACAAAAAAAAAAAAAAAAAAAA
ensembl:lncRNA